UACGAAGGGGCUAGCGUUGUUCGGAAUUACUGGGCGUAAAGCGCGCGUAGGCGGUGAUCUUUGUCAGAGGUGAAAGCCUGGGGCUCAACUCCAGAAUUGCCUUUGAAACGGGAUCGCUUGAGUCCGAGAGAGGAUGGCGGAAUUCCUAGUGUAGAGGUGAAAUUCGUAGAUAUUAGGAAGAACACCAGUGGCGAAGGCGGCUCACUGGCCCGGUACUGACGCUGAGGCGCGAAAGCGUGGGAGCAAACAGG
rnacentral:rRNA from 1 species